AGGGUUCGAUUCUGGCUCAGGAUGAACGCUAGCUACAGGCUUAACACAUGCAAGUCGAGCGGAACUGCUUCGGCAGUUUAGCGGCAGACGGGUGAGUAACACGUAUCCAACCUUCCCCUUACUCGGGUAUAGCCUCGGGAAACUGAGAGUAAUCCCCGAUGUGGUGUACGCUUCGCAUGUAAUGCACACCAAAGAUUAAUCGGUAAGGGAUGGGGAUGCGUUCCAUUAGCUAGUAGGCGGGGUAACGGCCCACCUAGGCGAUGAUGGAUAGGGGUUCUGAGAGGAAGGUCCCCCACAUUGGAACUGCGACACGGUCCAAACUCCUACGGGAGGCAGCAGUGAGGAAUAUUGGUCAAUGGCCGAGAGGCUGAACCAGCCAAGUAGCGUGCAAGGAUGACGGCCCUACGGGUUGUAAACUGCUUUUGUGCGGGAAUAACGGUCGACACGUGUGUUGAUGUGCAUGUACCGUACGAAUAAGGAUCGGCUAACUCCGUGCCAGCAGCCGC
rnacentral:rRNA from 1 species